rnacentral:rRNA from 1 species
AUACGGAGGGUCCAAGCGUUAUCCGGAAUCAUUGGGUUUAAAGGGUCCGCAGGCGGUCAAUUAAGUCAGAGUUGAAAGCCCAUCGCUCAACGAUGGAACUGCCUUUGAUACUGGUUGACUUGAGUUAUACGGAAGUAGAUAGAAUAAGUAGUGUAGCGGUGAAAUGCAUAGAUAUUACUUAGAAUACCGAUUGCGAAGGCAGUCUACUACGUAUAUACUGACGCUGAGGGACGAAAGCGUGGGGAGCGAACAGGAUUAGAUACCCUUGUAGUCC